rnacentral:rRNA from 1 species
GACGGAGGAUGCAAGUGUUAUCCGGAAUCACUGGGCGUAAAGCGUCUGUAGGUCGUUUAACAAGUCUACUGUUAAAAAUUGAAGCUUAACUUCAAAGAUGCCGUAGAAACUUUUAAACUUGAGUAUGGUAGGGGUAGAGGGAAUUUCCAGUGGAGCGGUGAAAUGCGUAGAUAUUGGAAAGACCACCAACGGCGAAGGCAGGUUACUGGUACGCAACUGACGCUGAGGCACGAAAGCGUGGGGAGCAAACAGG